GAUCAUGGUUCAGGAUGAACGCUGGCGGCGUGCCUAAUACAUGCAAGUCGAACGCUUUGUGGUUCAACUGAUUUGAAGAGCUUGCUCAGAUAUGACGAUGGACAUUGCAAAGAGUGGCGAACGGGUGAGUAACACGUGGGAAACCUACCUCUUAGCAGGGGAUAACAUUUGGAAACAGAUGCUAAUACCGUAUAACAAUGACAACCGCAUGGUUGUUAUUUAAAAGAUGGUUCUG
rnacentral:rRNA from 1 species